GUCCAGACUCCUACGGGAGGCAGCAGUGAGGAAUUUUGCGCAAUGGGGGCAACCCUGACGCAGCAACGCCGCGUGAGUGAUGAAGGCUUUCGGGUCGUAAAGCUCUGUCAAGUGGGAAGAACCUGUUUCGUGCCAAUACCACGAAACACUGACGGUACCACUGAAGGAAGCACCGGCUAACUCCGUGCCAGCAGCCGCGGUAAUACGGGGGGUGCAAGCGUUAUUCGGAAUCAUUGGGCGUAAAGGGCGCGUAGGCGGUCCUGUAAGUCAGAUGUGAAAUCCUUUCGCUUAACGGAAGAAGUGCAUUUGAAACUGCAGGACUUGAGUAUGGGAGAGGGAAGUGGAAUUCCUGGUGUAGAGGUGAAAUUCGUAGAUAUCAGGAGGAACACCGGUGGCGAAGGCGACUUCCUGGACCAAUACUGACGCUGAGGCGCGAAGGCGUGGGGAGCAAACAGGAUUAGAUACCCUGGUAGUCCACGCAGUAAACUUUGUUCACUAGGUGUAGCGGGUAUUGACCCCUGCUGUGCCGAAGCUAACGCAUUAAGUGAACCGCCUGGGAAGUACGGCCGCAAGGUUAAAACUCAAAG
rnacentral:rRNA from 1 species